rnacentral:rRNA from 1 species
GACGAACGCUGGCGGCGUGCUUAACACAUGCAAGUCGAACGGAAAGGCCCUGCUUUUGUGGGGUGCUCGAGUGGCGAACGGGUGAGUAACACGUGAGUAACCUGCCCUUGACUUUGGGAUAACUUCAGGAAACUGGGGCUAAUACCGGGUAGGAGCUCCUGCUGCAUGGUGGGGGUUGGAAAGUUUCGGCGGUUGGGGAUGGACUCGCGGCUUAUCAGCUUGUUGGUGGGGUAGUGGCUUACCAAGGCUUUGACGGGUAGCCGGCCUGAGAGGGUGACCGGCCACAUUGGGACUGAGAUACGGCCCAGACUCCUACGGGAGGCAGCAGUGGGGAAUAUUGCACAAUGGGCGGAAGCCUGAUGCAGCAACGCCGCGUGCGGGAUGACGGCCUUCGGGUUGUAAACCGCUUUCGCCUGUGACGAAGCGUGAGUGACGGUAAUGGGUAAAGAAGCACCGGCUAACUACGUGC